rnacentral:lncRNA from 1 species
CUCCUCCUCACAGAAAAGGUGCAUUAGCUAUCAAGUUGCAAAAAUCAUCAAAGCAAAAGAAAUCAAGAGCAAAGACAAUCUGUACAGAAACUAACAAAAAUAUACAAUAGAAAAAAUUACUAAUGCACCGUUUUGUCACAGACUUUUUUUUUUUAAAUAUAUUCACGGAUUACCAGAAAGAUCUUGAAAAACCCUAUUUUGCUCCAUGACCAGCACUUCCUGGCCGCAGAUGGACUCUAAGUAACUUUUUGCUUAAUGCUUGGUGUUUCAGGUCGGUGAUCCUUCCUCUCUGACACGUUACGCUUGACUUUGGCAGUGAUUGGAGAAGUAUCCGGGUUCAGCGAAGGACUCGAGUGCGACUUCUUCAGUCCUGCAGCCUCGCUUUCAUCGUUACUCAGUAGCUCUUUGCCUCCUUCCUUGAGAAUGCUGACAUACAUUUCAUAGCGGGUUUUCUGAAGGCAAAGCCAGAGAAC